CCUACGGGGGGCUGCAGUGGGGAAUAUUGGACAAUGGGCGCAAGCCUGAUCCAGCCAUGCCGCGUGUGUGAAGAAGGCCUUCGGGUUGUAAAGCACUUUCACUUGGGAAGAAAAGUUGGUCGUUAAUAGCGGCCAGCCGUGACAUUACCUUGAGAAGAAGCACCGGCUAACUCCGUGCCAGCAGCCGCGGUAAUACGGAGGGUGCGAGCGUUAAUCGGAAUUACUGGGCGUAAAGCGCGCGUAGGCGGUUUGUUAAGUCAGCUGUGAAAGCCCCGGGCUCAACCUGGGAACUGCAGUUGAUACUGGCCGACUAGAGUACGAGAGAGGGAGGUAGAAUUCCAUGUGUAGCGGUGAAAUGCGUAGAUAUAUGGAGGAAUACCGGUGGCGAAGGCGGCCUCCUGGCUCGAUACUGACGCUGAGGUGCGAAAGCGUGGGGAUCAAACAGGCUUAGAUACCCCUGUAGUC
rnacentral:rRNA from 1 species